GGAGGUGUGGCCGAGUGGUUUAAGGCAGCAGUCUUGAAAACUGCCGACUGUAACAGGUCCCUGAGUUCGAAUCUCUGCGCCUCCGCCA
rnacentral:tRNA from 2 species